rnacentral:rRNA from 1 species
CCUACGGGAGGCAGCAGUGGGGAAUUUUGGACAAUGGGCGAAAGCCUGAUCCAGCAAUGCCGCGUGAGUGAAGAAGGCCUUCGGGUUGUAAAGCUCUUUUGUCAGGGAAGAAACGGUGAGAGCUAAUAUCUUUUGCUAAUGACGGUACCUGAAGAAUAAGCACCGGCUAACUACGUGCCAGCAGCCGCGGUAAUACGUAGGGUGCAAGCGUUAAUCGGAAUUACUGGGCGUAAAGCGUGCGCAGGCGGUUUUGUAAGUCUGAUGUGAAAUCCCCGGGCUCAACCUGGGAAUUGCAUUGGAGACUGCAAGGCUAGAAUCUGGCAGAGGGGGGUAGAAUUCCACGUGUAGCAGUGAAAUGCGUAGAUAUGUGGAGGAACACCGAUGGCGAAGGCAGCCCCCUGGGUCAAGAUUGACGCUCAUGCACGAAAGCGUGGGGAGCAAACAGGAUUAGAUACCCUGGUAGUCCACGCCCUAAACGAUGUCUACUAGUUGUCGGGUCUUAAUUGACUUGGUAACGCAGCUAACGCGUGAAGUAGACCGCCUGGGGGAGGUACGGUCGCGAGAAGUAAACGUUAAAAGUUAAGUAAGUUAGUACGGACGUGAGACGUAGACCGACGGACGACGACGAGGGGAGGAGGGNG